rnacentral:hammerhead_ribozyme from 1 species
AUUCAGCUGACGAGUCCAAAAUAGGACGAAAUAUGCAUGCUGUUU